GUCCACGCCGUAAACGUUGGGCACUAGGUGUGGGGAGGAAUCAACCCUUUCCGUGCCGUAGCUAACGCAUUAAGUGCCCCGCCUGGGGAGUACGGCCGCAAGGCUAAAACUCAAAGGAAUUGACGGGGCCCGCACAAGCGGCGGAGCAUGUUGCUUAAUUCGAGGCAACGCGAAGAACCUUACCUGGGUUUGACAUGUACGGAAAAGCCAUAGAGAUAUGGUGUCCUUCGGGGCCGUACACAGGUGGUGCAUGGCUGUCGU
rnacentral:rRNA from 1 species